rnacentral:rRNA from 1 species
UACAGAGGUCUCAAGCGUUGUUCGGAUUCAUUGGGCGUAAAGGGUGCGUAGGCGGCCGCGGUAAGUCGGGUGUAGAAAUCUCGGAGCUUAACUCCGAAACUGCCAUUCGAUACUGCCUGGUGCUUGAGGACUGGAGAGGAGACUGGAAUUUACGGUGAGCGGUGAAAUGCGUAGAUAUCGAUAAGGAAGACCAGUGGCGAAGGCGGGUCUCUGGACAGUUCCUGACGCUGAGGCACGAAGGGCCAGGGGAGCAAACGGG